rnacentral:rRNA from 1 species
UACCAGCACCCCGAGUGGUCGGGACGAUUAUUGGGCCUAAAGCAUCCGUAGCCGGUCUUGCAAGUCUUCCGUUAAAUCCACCUGCUUAACAGAUGGGCUGCGGAAGAUACUACAAGACUAGGAGGCGGGAGAGGCAAGCGGUACUCAGUGGGUAGGGGUAAAAUCCUCUGAUCCAUUGAAGACCACCAGUGGCGAAGGCGGCUUGCCAGAACGCGCUCGACGGUGAGGGAUGAAAGCUGGGGGAGCAAACCGGAUUAGAUACCCGGGUAGUCCCAGCUGUAAACGAUGCAGACUCGGUGAUGGGCCGGCUUCAUGCCGGCUCAGUGCCGCAGGGAAGCCGUUAAGUCUGCCGCCUGGGGAGUACGGUCGCAAGACUGAAACUUAA